ACCUAUACCAGAGUUCCAGCAGUGCCAGAUCCUUAACCUGCUGUGCCAUAAGGGAUUAUUUUCAUACAAAAAUUGUAUUAACUUGGAAUACGGAAUUGUUCAAGAGAGAAUAUAGGCGUUCCUGUGCUGGCUCAACGGAAACAAAGCUGACUAUCAUCCAUGAGGACACACGUUUGAUCCUUAACCCCCAAUCAGUGGGUUAAGGAUCUAGUGUUGCCAUGAGCUGUGGUGUAGGCUGCAGACAUGGCUCGGAUCUGCUGUUGCUGUGGCUGUGGUGUAGGCUGGCAGCUCUAGCUCUGAUUCGAACCCUGGCCUGAGAACUUCCACAUGCUGCAGGGGCAGCCCUAAAAAGCAAAAAUAAAAUAAAAAUUACUUUGAGGUAUAUAAUUAACCUAUAAAAGACAUUAUAUUCACUGCUUCAGUAAAUUUUUUUUUUGUCUUUUUGUCUUUUUGCCAUUUCUUGGCCCGCUCCCGUGGCAUAUGGAGGUUCCCAGGCUAGGGGUCUAAUCGGAGCUGCAGCUGCCAGCUUACGCCAGAGCCACAGCAACACGCGAUCCGAGCCGCGUCUGCGACCCACACCACAGCUUAAGGCAACGCUGGAUGGUUAACCCACUGAGCAAGGCCAGGGAUCGAACCCGCAACCUCAUGGUUCCUAGUCGGAUUCGUUCACCACUGCACCACGACGGGAACUCCAUCAGUAAAUUUUUAUCAAUGAAAUAUACACAAACUAAGGAAUUUUUAUUUACAGCUGUCUUCAGCACAGAGUAAUAUAUUAAUAGAAAACUUGGUUUUUGGAGUGGAAGUUAUUUCUGUACAAUGUUCUAUAGCCAUAAAAUUAGAUAAAAUAUAUUUAAGAACUUAAGCUGAGAGGAGAAAUAAAAAGGAAAUUAUUUCAAAUUUAGUACUGAUUAUUCUACCAUGCCAUAUGUGAAGGGUGAUUUUUUUUUUUAAAUAAAGGCAUUUUAAACACAAAUUGAGAACCUUAGUGACUGAUGUUCUAAAAUUGGCUUAGAAGAGUGUUUUCAAACUGUAGAUCUUCACUCAUUAGUGACUGUGAAAUCCUUUAAAUGUAUCAUGAUACUAUUUUUUAAUAAAAGGCAAUUGAAACAUCAAAGGCAUUACAUAUGCAUAUCUUAUGAAAAUUAAUUUGAAGUUUUAAAUUCACACCUACAUUUGUAUAUGUGAAAUACAUGCAUAUAGGAACUGGAUCACCAUAUAUACUUUAUGUAGGUCAUAUUCAAGAAAAUUUGGAUAUCUGUGACGAAAAUGGUUUAACAGGCAUCACGAGAUAUAGCUGGUUAUAAUGGGCCACCCAAAAAGCUUACUUGGUUGGAAAACAAGUUUUCAGGUAGUAAAACCAGAAAACUCGUGCCAUCUCAUUCGUGUAUGCAGAUCUGUAUGCGAGGCGGAGGUGUGCAACACUGCUAAGAGGCUCACAACAAAGCUGAUCGUGCAACACGAGGAAUGAUGACAGGGCAGGCUGUACAAUCUCCUUCUGCUUCAGAGUGUUGGAAAUAGCAUGUUCAAACGAUGCUUCUCAAACGGCACAUCACUUCCAAUGAAGCACCAGACCCCUCAUUUGGGGACAAUUUGGGUCUCUGGAUCUAUCCUGUGAAAAUGGAUUGUGAUGAUCAUUAUACAACUACAGAUGUGAUAAAAAAUAAGUAAAUAAAAAAUAAGAAAAUAAAAGUAAAAAAAGAAAGUAAAAAAUAAUAAUAAUAAAAAGAAAUUAAGAGAAGGACUUCCUGUUGCGGCUCCAUAGGUUAUCAACCCGAAGUAGUAUCCAUGAGGAUGCAGGUUUGAUCCCUGGCCUCCCUCAGUGGGUUAAGGAACCAGCGUUGCCGUGAGCUGUGGUGUAGGUGGCAGGCACGGCGUGGAUCCUAGAUGCCUGUGGCUGUGGUGUAGGCCAGCAGCUCUGAUUCAACCUCUGCCCUGGGAACUCCCACAUGCUGCAGGUGAGACCCUCAAAAGCACACACACACACAAAAAGAAAUUAAGAGAAGUAUGUUUAAGACCUCACCUGCGUUUUCCCUAGUUGCUGGACAGGAACUGAUGUAUUUCAGCUCUAUGGAUGACAGCUCCCUGGGCCACAAAAAGCAGACACUGACCGGCUGUGUCUAAGAUCACAGAGAAGGUAGUCAGGACACGGUCUGGUGGCUCCCACAAUCAUUGGCAACAGAGCACGCGUUUCUGAGUGAGGCCAAGGGUUGACCAUCUUGCAUAAGCUUGGGCACCCCAGUCUCCUGGUCGUGUCCUGUGCUGCAUGACACCCACCCGUGGCUGUCACAGUUCCUAAGACCAGGUCCCCUCACCCCUUCUCCAUUCCACACCCUCUCUGCUCUCAGCCGCACCUCAACUGAUCAUCGCCCUUCUCCACCGGAACGACCCACACCUU
rnacentral:lncRNA from 1 species